rnacentral:rRNA from 1 species
UACGUAGGGGGCGAGCGUUGUCCGGAAUCACUGGGCGUAAAGGGUUCGUAGGCGGCCUGCUAAGUCCUUCGUGAAAGCCCCAGGCUCAACUUGGGGACUGCGCGGGAUACUGACAGGCUUGAGGGCAGGAGAGGCAAGCGGAACGUUGCAAGUAGCGGUGAAAUGCAUUGAUAUGCAACGGAACACCAAUGGCGAAGGCAGCUUGCUGGACUGUUCCUGACGCUGAGGGACGAAAGCCAGGGUAGCGAACGGG